rnacentral:rRNA from 1 species
AACAAACGCUGGCGGCGUGCUUAACACAUGCAAGUCGAACGGAAAGGCCCUGCUUUUGUGGGGUGCUCGAGUGGCGAACGGGUGAGUAACACGUGAGUAACCUGCCCUUGACUUUGGGAUAACUUCAGGAAACUGGGGCUAAUACCGGAUAGGAGCUCCUGCUGCAUGGUGGGGGUUGGAAAGUUUCGGCGGUUGGGGAUGGACUCGCGGCUUAUCAGCUUGUUGGUGGGGUAGUGGCUUACCAAGGCUUUGACGGGUAGCCGGCCUGAGAGGGUGACCGGCCACAUUGGGACUGAGAUACGGCCCAGACUCCUACGGGAGGCAGCAGUGGGGAAUAUUGCACAAUGGGCGGAAGCCUGAUGCAGCAACGCCGCGUGCGGGAUGACGGCCUUCGGGUUGUAAACCGCUUUCGCCUGUGACGAAGCGUGAGUGACGGUAAUGGGUAAAGAAGCACCGGCUAACUACGUGCCAGCAGCCGCGGUGAUACGUAGGGUGCGAGCGUUGUCCGGAUUUAUUGGGCGUAAAGGGCUCGUAGGUGGUUGAUCGCGUCGGAAGUGUAAUCUUGGGGCUUAACCCUGAGCGUGCUUUCGAUACGGGUUGACUUGAGGAAGGUAGGGGAGAAUGGAAUUCCUGGUGGAGCGGUGGAAUGCGCAGAUAUCAGGAGGAACACCAGUGGCGAAGGCGGUUCUCUGGGCCUUUCCUGACGCUGAGGAGCGAAAGCGUGGGGAGCGAACAGGCUUAGAUACCCUGGUAGUCCACGCUGUAAACGGUGGGUACUAGGUGUAGGGUCCAUUCCACGGGUUCCGUGCCGUAGCUAACGCUUUAAGUACCCCGCCUGGGGAGUACGGCCGCAAGGCUAAAACUCAAAGGAAUUGACGGGGCCCCGCACAAGCGGCGGAGCAUGCGGAUUAAUUCGAUGCAACGCGUAGAACCUUACCUGGGUUUGACAUGGAUCGGGAGCGCUCAGAGAUGGGUGUGCCUCUUUUGGGGUCGGUUCACAGGUGGUGCAUGGCUGUCGUCAGCUCGUGCCGUGAGAUGUUGGGUUAAGUCCCGCAACGAGCGCAACCCUUGUUCACUGUUGCCAGCACGUUAUGGUGGGGACUCAGUGGAGACCGCCGGGGUCAACUCGGAGGAAGGUGGGGAUGACGUCAAGUCAUCAUGCCCCUUAUGUCCAGGGCUUCACGCAUGCUACAAUGGCUGGUACAGAGAGUGGCGAGCCUGUGAGGGUGAGCGAAUCUCGGAAAGCCGGUCUCAGUUCGGAUUGGGGUCUGCAACUCGACCUCAUGAAGUCGGAGUCGCUAGUAAUCGCAGAUCAGCAACGCUGCGGUGAAUACGUUCCCGGGGCU